GCCUCCAUCGUCUAGGGGACCAGGACGCGGCCCUUUCAAGGCCAAAACCAGGGUUCGAAUCCCUGUGGAGGCA
rnacentral:tRNA from 1 species